CCAAACUUGGUCAUUUAGAGGAAGUAAAAGUCGUAACAAGGUCUCCGUUGGUGAACCAGCGGAGGGAUCAUUACCGAGUUUACAACUCCCAAACCCUUUGUGAACAUACCAUCGUUGCUUCGGCGGGAUCGCCCCGGCGCCUCUGCGCGCCGGAUCCAGGCGCCCGCCGGGGGCCCGAAACUCUUGUCUUCAAGCAGAAUUUCUUCUGAGUGAGCAAACAAAAUGAAUCAAAACUUUCAACAACGGAUCUCUUGGUUCUGGCAUCGAUGAAGAACGCAGC
rnacentral:misc_RNA from 1 species